CCUACGGGAGGCAGCAGUGGGGAAUAUUGGACAAUGGGCGAAAGCCUGAUCCAGCCAUGCCGCGUGUGUGAAGAAGGUCUUCGGAUUGUAAAGCACUUUAAGUUGGGAGGAAGGGCAGUUACCUAAUACGUGAUUGUUUUGACGUUACCGACAGAAUAAGCACCGGCUAACUCUGUGCCAGCAGCCGCGGUAAUACAGAGGGUGCAAGCGUUAAUCGGAAUUACUGGGCGUAAAGCGCGCGUAGGUGGUUUGUUAAGUUGGAUGUGAAAUCCCCGGGCUCAACCUGGGAACUGCAUUCAAAACUGACUGACUAGAGUAUGGUAGAGGGUGGUGGAAUUUCCUGUGUAGCGGUGAAAUGCGUAGAUAUAGGAAGGAACACCAGUGGCGAAGGCGACCACCUGGACUGAUACUGACACUGAGGUGCGAAAGCGUGGGGAGCAAACAGGAUUAGAUACCCU
rnacentral:rRNA from 1 species